GUAAGAGCAGGAGUUUUGAGGGUGUCUGUGAGAUAUGACAAGCCCAAAGUACAUGGUAAGCCCAUAAUCCAUGUGGAUUUGAAUUGGUCCCAAUGUAAUCAGGGCAUGUUCUCUGUGCUCUCUUCUAGGGCUGCAUUCCCUUUCUAGUAUGGUCCAUGAAAAACAUGCAGAGGAAAUGGCCCCAAAGCAUUGGCUGAGAGUUUAUGUCGUCCAACUGAGUCUCCAUUGAACUGUUGUGGUGUUGCUGACUUGCCCUAGGUCACCUGAGUUAAAAGGGUUGCAUUCCCUUUCCAGUAUGGUCCAUGGAAAACAUGCAGAGGAAAUGGCCCCACAGCAUUGGCUGAGUGUUUAUGUCGACCAACUUAGUCUCCAUCGACCUGUUGUGGUGUUGCUGACUUGCCCUAGGUCACCUGAGUUAAAUGGGUUGCAUUCCCUUUCCAGUAUGGUCCAUGGAAAACAUGCAGAGGAAAUGGCCCCACAGCAUUGGCUGAGAGUUUAUGUCGUCCAACUGAGUCUCCAUCGAACUGUUGUGGUGUUGCUGACUUGCCCUAGGUCACCUGAGUUAAAUGGGUUGCAUUCCCUUUCCAGUAUGAUCCAUAGAAAACAUGCAGAGGAAAUGGCCCCACAGCAUUGGCUGAGAGUUUAUGUCGUCCAACUGAGUCUCCAUCGAACUGUUGUGGUGUUGCUGACUUGCCCUAGGUCACCUGAGUUAAAUGGGUUGCAUUCCCUUUCCAGUAUGGUCCAUGGAAAACAUUCAGAGGAAAUGGCCCCACAGCAUUGGCUGAGUGUUUAUGUCGACCAACUUAGUCUCGAUCGACCUGUUGUGGUGUUGCUGACUUGCCCUAGGUCACCUGAGUUAAAUGGGUUGCAUUCCCUUUCCAGUAUGGUCCAUGGAAAACAUGCAGAGGAAAUGGCCCCACAGCAUUGGCUGAGAGUUUAUGUCGUCCAACCGAGUCUCCAUCGAACUGUUGUGGUGUUGCUGACUGGCCCUAGGUUACCUGAGUUAAAUGGGUUGCAUUCCCUUUCCAGUAUGGUCCAUGGAAAACAUGCAGAGGAAAUGGCCCCACAGCAUUGGCUGAGUGUUUAUAUCUUCCAACCGAGUCUCCAUCGAACUGUUGUGGUGUUGCUGACUUGGCCUAGGUCACCUGAGUUAAAAGGGUUGCAUUCCCUUUCCAGUAUGGUCCAUGGAAAACAUGCAGAGGAAAUGGCCCCACAGCAUUGGCUGAGUGUUUAUGUCAUCCAACCGAGUCUCCAUCGAACUGUUGUGGUGUUGCUGACUUGCCCUAGGUCACUUGAGUUAAAUGAGAUGCAUUCCUUUUCCUUCAUGGGCCAUGAGUGACAUCCAGAGAAAGUGUCACCACAACACUGGACAAAAGUUGAUGAUAUCUGAAUGAGCUACCAGUAAACCCCCCCCUUUUUUUGCUGUUAUUGCCUUGCCUGAGGAAAAGCGAGUUAAAAGAUGAUACCUACAGUGAUGAGUUGGAGUUAUAGAUGGUGCCAUUUCUUCUACCAGCAGCUUCACCAAAACAAUCUCCAUUAUACAUGCUGAUGCCUCUUUCCUGUGUAGCAGCAGACACCACCUGCAGAUAAGAAAUGCUUAAGUGAGAAAUGCUCAUUUUGGGAUAUCAUCGCUGAAACUAUAAUUUGGGCAUGGUGACUGUUUCCCUUGCUGCCACUUGACUCAAUCUCAGAAGUUUAAUAGAUCAAAUAAUAUUGUACAAUAUGCUCAAAAUGGUGGAAGUAAUUAGUGCUCCUAUAAAUAUAUAUUGACAAUUUAAAUAUAACAUAUUAAAAAUAAAAUGCAUGAUUAAACAAACCUGAAUGCAUACUUAUAUAAUUAAUACAUAAAAUAUGUGCUGCCUCUUUUUUGAAGGCUAUCCCCAUAGUUUCUCUCUGUUAAGAGAAGGAUAUACAUGCUUUUAAGCAAUAAAUAUACAAGCAGAUACACAUACUGUCUGGUGGGGGCACUUCUAGUAGUAAUGCCAUAUUAUUAUGCAAAUUGCUACUUUUGUUUGAGUCUUUUUGAUGAGCUUUUGCUACUAUGUCAUUUAUUGAAUGACUAUAUGACUGUUUUGUAGAUGAAAUAGAAUUAAAUAUUUUAAAUAUUGCUUAUACAUGCAUUUAUAUAGGUGCUAAUUUUCUGUGCAAUAGACUUCCGUAUAUAUUAACAUUUAUGCAUUCAUCUCCUCUAUUAAAGUAAAUUUACCUAGAACACAAAUUAUUGAAAUUAAGUAUAUUGACACUUAAUAUUUUUAUAAUUGUUAUGAUUCCUUUAAGAAUGUGCUUGAAGAGCUUUCUUGUAAGAAUCAAUGAAUUAGAUUGCCCAAUUUUUCAAAAUACAAUUAUGGUAGAUUUUACAAAUGAUUGAGAUCCUUUCCAGUGUGUUAGCCCAAAUUGUUGCUCUGACUUGUAUUUAUUUUAUUUUUGAGUUUGAUCAUUUUCAUGUUUAAUAGCCAUCUGUAUUAUUUUAAUUUCCUAUUUAUCUCAAAACUUGGGAGUAUUUAGUCUCUUUAAUGAUCUUAUAGUAUUUGGGAAAGAUAAGAUUUUGGAUUGUCAAACAUUACAUGUUUGUCACACUUUUAAACUUUGUUUUGUUAUCAGAAUGCGUAUUAUUCUUACAUGUCCAAAUAUAACCAUGUUUGCUUUUAUGGCUUCUGAGUUUCAUGUCAUUUAAAAAAAUAUUCUGAACCCAUAAAGCUUUUCACCUAUGUUAAUUCUAAUUAUUUUGUGUUUUUUAAAGUCAAAUUCUUAUGUCAUGAAAAAAAUUUUAUUUUGAAAUCUUACAGUUGCGAAGUUAUUUGCCAUUACUUAUAAUUAUUUGCCAAUAAUUGCCCACUUAUCUGUAAUGCCAUCUUGCAUAUGUGCUGUAUUCUCAUCCAUGAAUGGCUCCAUUUUUGUUUUGUGGAUAUGUGUGUCUCUUCUCCCUUCUGUCUCAUGUGUCUUCUUGUUGGAAGAAGUUACAGUAUAGACUGUAAUUUCAUCAAUCUUAAUAAAUUAAUCUGGGAAAAACUUGUUUUAAAUGAUACUGUCUUCAUAAAUAA
rnacentral:lncRNA from 1 species